GAUGAAGAACGCAGCGAAAUGCGAUACGUAGUGUGAAUUGCAGAAUUCAGUGAAUCAUCGAAUCUUUGAACGCACAUUGCACCUCUCGGUAUUCCGGGAGGUAUGCCUGUUCGAGCGUCAUUUGUACCCUCAAGCUCUGCUUGGUGUUGGGUGGUUGUUCCGCCUCUGUGUGUGAACUCGCCUCAAAACAAUUGGCAGCCGGCGUACUUGUUUCGGAGCGCAGCACAUUUUGCGAUCCAGAUCAACGUACAGCGGCAUCCAAGAAGCCUUAUUUAACGCUCUUGACCUCGGAUCAGGUAGGGAUACCCGCUGAACUUAAGCAUAUCAAUAAGCGGAGGA
rnacentral:misc_RNA from 1 species